rnacentral:rRNA from 1 species
CCCAGACUCCUACGGGAGGCAGCAGUGGGGAAUAUUGCACAAUGGGGGAAACCCUGAUGCAGCAACGCCGCGUGAAGGAGGACGGUUUUCGGAUUGUAAACUUCUGUUCUUAGUGAAGAAGAAUGACGGUAGCUAAGGAGCAAGCCACGGCUAACUACGUGCCAGCAGCCGCGGUAAUACGUAGGGGGCGAGCGUUAUCCGGAUUUAUUGGGUUUAAAGGGUGCGUAGGCGGGACGGUAAGUCAGCGGUAAAAAGGCGGAGCUCAACUCCGUCGAGCCGUUGAAACUGCCGUUCUUGAGUGAGCGAGAAGUAUGCGGAAUGCGUGGUGUAGCGGUGAAAUGCAUAGAUAUCACGCAGAACUCCGAUUGCGAAGGCAGCAUACUGGCGGCGAUCUGACGCUGAGGCACGAAAGCGUGGGUAUCGAACAGGAUUAGAUACCCUUGUA